UAAACAUAAUAUAUAUUAUAUAUAUAUAUUUUUUCUUUAUCCAUUCAUCUGUCAGUGGACACUUAGGUUGUUUCCUUAUCUUGAUUAUUCUGAAUAAUGCUGCAAUGAGCAUAGAAGAGGAGAUAUCUCUUCAAGACACUGAUUUCAUUUCCUUCAGAUAUAUACACACAAGUGAGAUGCCUGGAUUGUCUGAUAGUUCCAUUUUUUUUGGCUUUUUGAGGAGCCUCCAUUCUGUUCUCCACAGUGGUUGCACCAAUUUACAAUCCCAUCACCAGUGCAGAAGGGUUCCCUCUUCUCCACAUCCUCCCAGCAUUUGUUAUCUCUUGUCUUUUUGACAAGAGCCAUUCUGACAGGUGUGAGGUGAUCUUUUGUUUUCUUUGAGGUCCAGUGAUGUUACUAGAAUAUAUCUUGGUGUUGACUUUCCUGGGUCCUUUUUUCUUGGUGUGAUACACUUUGUUAGAAAAGGUAGAUUUAAAUAGUUUUUUCACCAAAGUUUUCUUAGACUAAGUUUGAAGUAUGAUUUCCAUUCCACUAUUUUAUUUUUAUUUUUUUCAUCAGGCUCUUUAAUUACAUAUAUGUUGGAUCUCCAUUGUCUGUCUUGUGGAUCCUUCCAUCUUUUCUAAUCCUUUCUAACUAUUUUCAUUUCAGUUUGUUCAUGUUUCUCAUGUCUAUAUUCUGUCUGGCUUAUUAUGUUUUCUCCUUGAGUACUUUCUCUUUUUUUUAAUGUUUUCAUUUAUUUUUGAAGGAGAGAGAGUGAGAGACAGAGCAUGAGCAGGGGAGGAGCAGAGAGAGAGGGAGACAGAGAAUCCGAAGCAGGCUUCAGGCUCCGAGCUGUCGGCACAGAGCCUGAUGUGGGGCUUGAACUCACGAACCACGAGACCAUGACCUGAGCCGAAGUCGGAUGCCCAGCCAACUGAGCCACCCAGGCGCCCCUUCCUUGAGUACUUUCUAAUUUCUACUUAAUUCCAGUUAAUUUCUAGUUUUCCCCAUUUCUUCCCAGAUCAUAUUUCACCUCUUCCUGCUAUCUUACCAUUUUUUUCGUGAGUUCUUGCAUUUCUCUUUUGUAGUGUUCCUUCAGAGAGGAUUUUUUUCAUUGAGCCUUACAAAUUCAUAGUGAAGCGAUUGCUCAAAAUUUUCACCUGUUUCAGGGUGACUGACCUUCAUCUGUUCAUAAAUUUUGCUGUUCAUUGUUUCCUUUUUUCCUUACAGUGUCUCCAAACUCUUCUUAUAAGUUGGAUGAGUCCACCGAAAGAGGUUCCUAUAGACGGGCCUGAGGUGAAGUUGAAAUUGCGGCCAGGCUGCUUCCUGCAAAUCAGCCUUGGAGAAUAUUUAGAUCAUUCCCAAUUUUUAUUAGAGCCAAACAGUGCUGCACCGACCACACAGGACAUACAGCUCUGGGGAAACUAUGAGGAUUUCUAUAGAGGAGACACCAAGAAAUGAAGCCAUUGGGUCCCACUUCUUACUGAUGCUAACCUUUCAUCGUGUAUCAGUUAUUAUCUCCUUUAAUCCUCAUGCAAAUGAGGGACAUGGGAAUUAUUUCAUUCCUAAUUUACAGCUGAGAAAACAGAAAGAUCCAGAGUGCUAACAUUUGCCCAGGGUCCCACAACUGGCAAAAAUACCAAUAUUUUUAAUUAAAACAAAAAAGAGAAAUGGGCAGAGAAAAAGAAGCCUGUUUGGGUUUUUUUUCUCUUCUAAAAAGAAAAAUAUGUUUUCAUGUUGGAUUCAUAAUCUGUAUUCUUAAACUUUUGGAUACCGCUAGAGAAAAAUAAAUCAUCUUUUAAAAAAUG